rnacentral:rRNA from 1 species
GAUGAUAAUUUCCCCUUAGACGUCAGCAGUACUACCAAGCUGGAGGAUGCUAGGGGAGCGAAGGGAGGUGGGGUGGGAGGAUGCUAGGGAGAGAGGGGGUGUUAUUUUCCUUUGUUCUUUUGGCGCUAUUCUUUUUUUUUGUCGGUGCUCGGGUGCUGGGCCUUGUCCCUGUGGAGCGUGCAGGGUGCAGGUCGUUGGGGGAGCGAGGAGGGUUAGGGCUCUUUUAAGUGGUGGCGGCAGGCAGUACGAUGAUCGGCUGCCGCAGUCGGCGAAGUAGCUCCAGCUACUCAGGGAGCUGGGUUCUGGGUUGGGAAAGCGAGGGGACGCAACGACCGAGGCAGUCAGAGCUACCCCAGCCAAUGAUCUAGAGUUAGUAGGCCGAGUAGAGGCGCUGCCGUGGGAGCCCGGAGUCGAAGCCGCCGCCCAGCUUGGUCUAGCGCGCAGCGCCUCCACCGGCCGACACACCUUCGAUCCGGAGGUGGAACUCGUCCCCUGCCCUCACCCUGUGUAUGUGUGCAUACGUUGGGUCGUUGGAGCCGGCGACUCUACUGCUGCUGCGUAGUCAAGCGCCGCUGCUGCUGCGUAGUCAAACGCCGCUCCGCGCGUUCGUACAAGGACUCCUUCCCUUCAACCCCGUGAAGCUCGAGCGCGGGCGAGUCCAGCAGCCGCACGGCGGUAGGACACAACCGGUCCGAAUGUAGCACCAAGUUCGGAACUCGACAGGCCGUGGUGGGCAAGGAGUUGGAGCACAGGCGGUCCCAGUGUCCUCGAGUAGCCUCGGUACGAGUCGACGUUCUACCGCAUGACUCCCAGGUCCCGCCACUUGUGUUGCAAUAUGUUCCCUGGGUGCUCGCGCCUGACGGUCCGCACCUCGUUGCUAGGGAUGGCACUGCACGAAGGCCCUGUUCCGCACGGUUGCACCUGCACCACCGCUGGCGGUUCUCUUUGACCUCCCGGCGUCAAGCACGGUCGCGGCGGUGGGAGCGCGAGGAGUAGGAGCGGAUGACGGAGCCGACAAUGCGGGAGACGUUUUUGCUGGCCGCCGCGACGAAACCGCUAGCAGCAAUGAUGACUAGCGAAGAAAACAAGUUACCCGGCCCUACCAAACUAAAGUACUAAACCAUAAGUCUCUUAGUUUCAUUUAAAAGUACCAACUACACUACAUGUCUAUGUUCCGUGCAUGUGUAGAAGAGAAGUAGGAGGGGCCAAAAUUAAGAUAGGCGGAGUGGUCCUAAUGUUCGUAGAAACUGUCUAUAAACUUUCGGGUGUAGUAAACGAAACUACUCUACCUACAGGUCGUCCACGUGGUUAAAUCAAAUUUGGAUUAUUGCAGCAACCGAAAAAGGAUUAUUAGAAGGAAAAGAAAAGGCGUUUCUUUUAGUAGUUACUCUACAGUUUCUACUUCUUACUCUCGUUAUCCUAAUUCUAGUAGUACUUCGUCAUACACCCACUCCUGGUCUCAAGCGACUGAGACGCUCUACACUCGUUAGAAGUCGUCGUCUAACUCGAGAGGGACAUGUUCAAAGCGGAUUCCUUCUUAUACCUGGAAUAAUUCUGCAUAUAUAUGCCUUCUAAGUCGUCAACCUUCGACUUGAUUCUGACGUCUUCAAGAGGCGACGGACGUCUUUAACAAACGCACUAGUUGAACGUGACCUAUUCCCGUACGCGAAUAUCUGCUAGAUACAAGACCAACACUUCAUCCUUGUGAGUUUCACAGUUUACUUCAAUUGCUUCCUCUUUUCCUUUCUCUUGUGAGUAGGUAUGUACUUUUUGACCUAUACCUCGACGUUCUAGACUUUUUUUCUGAAGUCGUUUUCCUCCAAGUUGAACUCCACUCCCACAACGGUAAGAGAGUGUCGCCUCGCUUCUCGUGUUGGGACUGACGUGUUGGGGAAGUUCCCAGUGACCACUUAAACAAGUUCAAAUAAAUAGAAGACCCAGUACAAGUAAAAAAUAGUGUCAUCCUAAGACCCGGACUCCCAUAGCACUCACACUCGUAAAUAUUACCUCAACGUGUUAAUAGAUAGAAGUCUUCACCUUUAUAAUCAAUACACCAGUACUUGUAUUGAUUACUAUGGGUACAAAAUCUUACUUAGUACUACUAUGGAUAGCGUUGUGUGAGUACUCGACACACACCGCAUGUGUAACGCUUAAUGUACUACAAAACAAGUUAUGAGAUACAGUCGUUUAAUAUACUACAUAACUAGUGAUAGGCUACAGUUUCAAACAAGAGACACAGAGUCAAACAACAGGGCACCGUUGCGUGCCCGUGGGUUGAUCA